UACGUAGGUGGCAAGCGUUGUCCGGAUUUAUUGGGUUUAAAGGGUGCGUAGGCGGCCUUGUAAGUCAGUGGUGAAAUACUCCAGCUUAACUGGAGGGGUGCCAAUGAUACUGCAGGGCUUGAGUACAGAUGAGGUAGGCGGAAUUGACGGUGUAGCGGUGAAAUGCAUAGAUAUCGUCAAGAACACCGAUAGCGAAGGCAGCUUACUGGGCUGUAACUGACGCUGAGGCACGAAAGCGUGGGGAGCAAACAGG
rnacentral:rRNA from 1 species